rnacentral:rRNA from 1 species
AUUGAACGCUGGCGGCAUGCCUUACACAUGCAAGUCGAACGGCAGCGCGGACUUCGGUCUGGCGGCGAGUGGCGAACGGGUGAGUAAUACAUCGGAACGUACCCUGUUGUGGGGGAUAACUAGUCGAAAGAUUAGCUAAUACCGCAUACGACCUGAGGGUGAAAGUGGGGGACCGCAAGGCCUCACGCAGCAGGAGCGGCCGGUGUCUGAUUAGCUAGUUGGUGGGGUAAAGGCCCACCAAGGCGACGAUCAGUAGCUGGUCGGAGAGGACGAUCAGCCACACUGGGACUGAGACACGGCCCAGACUCCUACGGGAGGCAGCAGUGGGGAAUUUUGGACAAUGGGGGCAACCCUGAUCCAGCAAUGCCGUGUGUGUGAAGAAGGCCUUCGGGUUGUAAAGCACUUUUGUCCGGAAAGAAAUCGCGCUGGUUAAUACCUGGCGUGGAUGACGGUACCGGAAGAAUAAGCACCGGCUAACUACGUGCCAGCCGCCGCCGUAA